rnacentral:misc_RNA from 1 species
AGACCCAUAUAUUCAAAACAAUUCGCUAGAUGGGAAUCGUACUGGUCCUGUAGGCGCUCCACGAUCAUUCAUUACUCCUCAUCCCGAACGAGCGUCAAGUCAUAGAAACUCGAUAGACUCUCGCGAAAAAUUUGCGAUUUUGCAAUACAUUAAGAAACUUUUUAUCGCCGUUAUGAUCAGCGGCCAUAGCGAUAUCAGGAUGACCGUGAAGUGCCGGGCAUAUGACUCGCACGAAAAAGAACGUGUUUAUUAGAAGAAAUAUCGAAGUUUCUAUGGCGGCUUGUGGCGUUUGCGUGUGAUCCCAGGUCACCGAAAUUCAUGCAGUCACCGCCGAUUGAAUCCUACAGGGGUUGGUGGACCAUUCCGUAUUUCUCCUGCAAGACCCGCCGUUGGCUCAUUUCAUAUAGCGUCAACGUGAAGCCGUUGGAUGUCCGACCCGGAGUACGGGAAUUCAUCAGCAUCGAUAUUGAUAUAAGUGGAUUAGAAGUAAAUCAGUGCGACACCUUGACGCAAAAUCACAAUGACGAAUUCGAAGCCGCCUCGAGCAAUCAAAUAGCCUUUUUUAAAGGCACCCACAAGUGUCACAUGGAUACUACGCAAUGCGUGUAUCAGGGGCCUGGCAGCCGAGUAAACCAAAAUGGGAUAGGUGCCGGUUGGACGAAAGGCGCGUAUGUGUGUAAGUGUAGGCAAGGCUUUUACAGCAUCAGACAUCAUCUGACAGGUUUCGAAGGAAUUCUUGUGGAAGCUGCAUGGAAGGAAAUGAGGGAAAACAAGAGUGAUUCCUAUGAGAAGGUAUUUCUAUGUCUGCGUUGCGCACCGGGAUGUGCGAGAUGUAAAGGCCCUGAGCCUUGCUUGGCGACGUAUAACUGGCCGUUUAGAAUUUCACUACUAGCCGUUUCAAUUUUCUGCGCGUUCGGUACCAUCGUCCUGGUGGCGUACAUGUAUCAACACCGUAAACUAAAGGUAUUCAAGGUAGCUUCCCCGAUAUUUCUAUCUAUUACGCUUCUGGGUUGCGCCUUGAUGUAUCUCGAGAUGGCUGCUAUAUUCCCAGUUCUCGAUAUGUAUUCAUGCAUUGCCACAAAGUGGACGAGGCAUAUGGGAUUCUGCAUCUCGUAUACGGCGUUGCUGAUGAAAACUUGGCGGGUUUCGCUUACGUAUCGGGUAAAAAGCGCCCACAAAGUUAAGCUGACGGACAAACAGUUGCUGCAAUGGAUGGUACCCAUUUUGCUGGUAAUGCUGAUCUAUCUCGGAACUUGGACUGUCAGCGCGCCGCCUUAUGCAGAGGUAAUCGCAGAUAACCACGACUUAAAGUUUUACCAGUGUUCGUACAACUGGUGGGAUCACAGCUUGGCUAUCGGUGAAAUUCUUUUUCUUGCUUGGGGCAUAAAGGUAUGUUACAACGUGCGAAACGCGGAGAGUCUGUUUAACGAAGCCCGUUUGAUAAGUUACGCCAUUUACAAUAUAGCCGCGGUGAAUAUAACCAUGAUAGCCAUUCAUCUCUUAAUAUUUCCUCGUGCCGGGCCGGACAUCAAAUACCUGUUAGGCUUUCUGCGGACUCAACUUUCGACGUCCGUUACGGUCUUCCUCGUAUUCGGCCCUAAAGUAAUCAGAGUAUUGCGAGGCCAGGGGGAUCAGUGGGACAGUCGAGCAAGGGCACGUGGCGUCACUGCAAGCUUUUCCUUGAACGGAAUCGGUUUAGUACCGGAGGAGACAACAGAUUUAUAUCAAGAAAAUGAAGAGCUUAAGGAGGAGAUUCAGAAAUUAGCCGCACGAAUAGAAUUCAUGAAAAUAGUGCACAUGGAGAUGCAUAACCGACAUAUUAAGCCAAAGUUAGGAGGUUAUUUCAGCGCACACGGUCAUGGUCAUGGGCAUCCAUCUACCGGGCAGAGUCCCAUCGCCAAGAGCUCGACAGCCAGCUUUAUUCUCAAAAUAAACUAUAUCGACGAUAUAACCACGACAUAACCCUCGCCAAAGUUUAUCAAUAAUUCACGGGAGAAAAACGAUCCAUGUCAUAGGAUUAAGCAAUGAAGCACCGAGAGACGGGAAAAUAAUAGACAAACUCAUCGCGCGGCGCGCCAAGCUACCAACAUUGGGCGCAUUCAGCGGACUCAACAGUUGAACGGCAGUGGAGCGAGGUGCAACGGCAGCCGCGGCUG